UACGUAGGGGGCAAGCGUUAUCCGGAAUUACUGGGUGUAAAGGGAGCGUAGACGGUAAUGUAAGUCUGGAGUGAAAGGCGGGGGCCCAACCCCCGGACUGCUCUGGAAACUAUGUUACUAGAGUGCAGGAGAGGUAAGCGGAAUUCCUAGUGUAGCGGUGAAAUGCGUAGAUAUUAGGGGGAACACCAGUGGCGAAGGCGGCUUACUGGACUGUAACUGACGUUGAGGCUCGAAAGCGUGGGGAGCAAACAGG
rnacentral:rRNA from 1 species